GUAACCUCAAGCUUUGCUUGGUAUUGGGCAACGCGGUCCGCCGCGUGCCUCAAAUCGUCCGGCUGGGUCUUCUGUCCCCUAAGCGUUGUGGAAACUAUUCGCUAAAGGGUGUUCGGGAGGCUACGCCGUAAAACAACCCCAUUUCUAA
rnacentral:misc_RNA from 1 species